rnacentral:rRNA from 1 species
UACGUAGGGUGCGAGCGUUAAUCGGAAUUACUGGGCGUAAAGCGUGCGUAGGCGGUUUGCCGUGUCCUGUGUGAAAGCCCCGGGCUCAACCUGGGAAUUGCAUGGGAAACUGGCAGGCUUGAGUGUGGCAGAGGAGGGUGGAAUUCCGCGUGUAGCAGUGAAAUGCGUAGAGAUGCGGAGGAACACCGUUGGCGAAGGCAGCCCUCUGGGCCAACACUGACGCUCAGGCACGAAAGCGUGGGGAGCAAACAGG